AGUUGCAGCCCUACACCUGAGCUCUAUCUGUUCCUGGUGAAAACGCUGACUGUAAGCCUGCAGCUCUCUCAGGACAGAUUACACACUGCAGACAGGCUACUGCUUUCCACGUUAGUGCUUCAGACCAUAAGCCUGAUGCUCGGUGAGACGGAGAAAGGAGCUGCUCGCUUUAGCGCACUAACGUCCAAGCAGGGAAGCGUGACUGCAGACUUGCUCUUGGCUUUGGUGUGUGUGAUCCUGAGCUAAAGCCUUACAACUGCAAUUCUACAUCUCACACAGAGCUCCUGUUUAUGGUUUAUCAGGCCCAGCGUGUGGUUCUGGUUCUGUCAUUUCUGUCAGAGUCUCCCUUGAGCCCGUCUCAGGCUGUCCUCCUGUACCAGCGGUGCCACUUGCUCCUGACCUGCAUGCAGCACAACCCCUGUGUGAACACCUCCAUUAUUACAGAACUUA